rnacentral:tRNA from 1 species
UUCCCAGUAGCGCAAUGGAUAGUGCGUCGGACUUCUAAUCCAAAGGUCGUGGGUUCGAAUUCCACCUGGGAUG